GCGACGGACUUGGAACCGGGAGAGGUAAGAGGUACUACAGGGGUAGGAGUGAAAUCUUGUAAUCCCUGUGGGACCACCUGUGGCGAAGGCGUCUUACCAGAACGGGUUCGACGGUGAGGGACGAAGCUGGGGGCACGAACCGGAUUAGAUACCCGGGUAGUCCCAGCCGUAAACGAUGCUCGCUAGGUGUCAGGCAUGGCGCGACCGUGUCUGGUGCCGCAGGGAAGCCGUGAAGCGAGCCACCUGGGAAGUACGGCCGCAAGGCUGAAACUUAAAGGAAUUGGCGGGGGAGCACAACAACGGGUGGGAAGCCUGCGGUUUAAUUGGACUCAACGCCGGACAACUCACCGGGGGCGACAGCAAUAUGUAGGCCAAGCUGAAGACUUUGCCUGAAUCGCUGAGGAGAGGUGCAUGG
rnacentral:rRNA from 1 species